rnacentral:snRNA from 1 species
AGUCAUACCUUUCAGAGAAAAUACCAUGUCAUAAAAGUGGGCCUCCUAGGGGGAGGCUCAUCUAUUGCAGUUCAGGUGUGCUGCUGAUCUCUAUGAUUCCCCAAAUGUGGGUAACUCAACUGCAUAAUUUGUGUUAAUGGGGGAUUUCCCUUGCGAUUUCCCUGG